UACGGGGGGCAAGCGUUGUUCGGAAUUACUGGGCGUAAAGGCGUGUAGGCGGCCCGUUAAGACAGGUGUGAAUUCCUGGGCUCAACCCAGGACGUGCGCCUGUGACUGGCGGCUUGAGUCCGGAGAGGAUGGUGAACUCCAGUGUAGAGGUGAACUUCGUAGAUAUUGGAAGAACACCGUGGCGAAGGCGGCCAUCUGGACCGGUACUGACGCUAAGGCGCGACAGCGUGAGCAACAGG
rnacentral:rRNA from 1 species